CCUACGGGAGGCAGCAGUAGGGAAUAUUGCUCAAUGGGGGAAACCCUGAAGCAGCAACGCCGCGUGGAGGAUGAAGGUUUUCGGCUUGUAAACUCCUAUUGUCAGAGAAGAUAAUGACGGUAUCUAACGAAUAAGCACCGGCUAACUCCGUGCCAGCAGCCGCGGUAAUACGGAGGGUGCAAGCGUUACUCGGAAUCACUGGGCGUAAAGAGCGCGUAGGCGGGAUAGCAAGUCAGAUGUGAAAGCCUCUGGCUUAACCAGAGAACUGCAUUUGAAACUGUAAUUCUAGAGUAUGGGAGGGGUAGGUGGAAUUCUUGGUGUAGGGGUAAAAUCCGUAGAGAUCAAGAGGAAUACUCAUUGCGAAGGCGACCUGCUAGAACGUAACUGACGCUGAUGCGCGAAAGCGUGGGGAGCAAACAGGAUUAGAUACCCGGGUAGUC
rnacentral:rRNA from 1 species